GCCGGCGUAGCUCAGUUGGUAGAGCAUCCGCUUCGUAAGCGGGGGGUCGGGGGUUCAAGUCCCUCCGCCGGCACCA
rnacentral:tRNA from 1 species